UACGAAGGGGCUAGCGUUGUUCGGAAUUACUGGGCGUAAAGCGCGCGCAGGCGGUCUUCCAAGUCAGUGGUGAAAGCCCGGAGCUCAACUCCGGAACUGCCAUUGAAACUGUAAGACUUGAGGAUGAGAGAGGUGAGUGGAAUUCCCAGUGUAGAGGUGAAAUUCGUAGAUAUUGGGAAGAACACCGGUGGCGAAGGCGGCUCACUGGCUCAUAUCUGACGCUCAGGCGCGACAGCGUGGGGAUCAAACAGG
rnacentral:rRNA from 1 species